CGCGGAUGCACACUGCACCCUCAUGAAGGUGCAAGUAUGUUGUUUCCCCCUCUCUAGGGUGUGUGGGAUUUGCACCAUGGUGAGCGUGUCAUAACAGAUUUGGGCGAACACUUCCUGGCGUGUUGUGUCUCAGUACAAAGACAGCAGCGUCUGCAGAUGUACUGGAUGUGUGUGUGUGUGUGUUUGUGUCUAUGUUUAAGGAACCUCCCAAAAACUCCACCCACGCUCACUUUUUCCCAGAACACCACCCAGAAUCAACCAGCCUCUCCAAGGGUCUAAACAACAGUAGAAAUCCGAGAACUGACCUGUGAAAACUCCUUUAUUUUGCCCUACGCUGGAGCCAACAGAGGCUUUGAUGGAAGUCCUUUCCCUGUCACCUGGAGAGAGGCUGAGCCACUCUGUCUAUAUGGCACUUAACCACGGCUCUCAGACAAACACAGAGGAUGCAGCAUGGACACGGAACGUCCGUCAUGGCCGACUAACAGAAAAUAGACCCCUCAAGCCCUAUUACUCUCUCCUCUGUCAGGAAGGAGUUAACCCCGCAAAGACUGAACAUUAGGGUCAAAUGUUAACAGAGCAUGUAAUUAAUGUCAUGAGUCCCCUUGACCAAUGAGGCGGACUCGCGCUGUCUGUUCUCAACUAGCCAACAGGAUCAGAGCGUGCAGGAAUUCAUUCAGAUCUCAUAAUCAAUAAGUAACCCUUAUCAAAGGCAGAUUGUAUCCUACCUGCUGUUUCAGAGUAAGUAAACAGGAUUAGCAGCUGUGGCAGAGCACCUUCCGCUUCCAAUCUUUUUU
ensembl:lncRNA